UACAGAGGGGGCAAGCGUUGUUCGGAAUUACUGGGCGUAAAGGGCGCGUAGGCGGCCGGUUAAGUCGAACGUGAAAUCCCCGGGCUCAACCCGGGAACUGCGUCCGAUACUGGCAGGCUUGAAUCCGGGAGAGGGAUGCGGAAUUCCAGGUGUAGCGGUGAAAUGCGUAGAUAUCUGGAGGAACACCGGUGGCGAAGGCGGCAUCCUGGACCGGCAUUGACGCUGAGGAGCGAAAGCGUGGGGAGCGAACAGG
rnacentral:rRNA from 1 species